AUUUUCCUCUUUCUUUUUUUCUUUAAUAAAAAUUAGCUGGAAGAUUUUGAUACCUAUUGUAUCAGUGAUGAAGUUAGGGCCAUUAAUGUGGAAACAUGUGCCAAACACGUUACUCUUUUUCAUUUAAGAUCAACAUUAUAGGUGCAACAAAAUGGCUUAUUACCUUUGCAAUUUUUCUUUUUUGAAUUAAAUUUUGAUAAAAGUAAAACUGAUUACAUAGUGCAAGGAGAUCAAAUGAUGUAUCACAUAAUGGCUUAUUACCUUUGCAAUUUUUCUUUUUUGAAUUAAAUUUUGAUAAAAGUAAAACUGAUUACAUAGUGCAAGGAGAUCAAAUGAUGUAUCACAAAAUGGCUUAUUACCUUUGCAAUUUUUCUUUUCUGAAUUAAAUUUUGAUAAAGGUAAAACUGAUUACAUAGUGCAAGGAGAUCGAAUGAUGUAUCUGUUGCUCAACAUUCUAUUUCAUGAAAUGAUGACUAUUGUCUAAAUACCCAUUGUAUGUGUAAAAUGCAACUGUUGUAAAAUAACUGGAGGAUUUCAGAAACUGUUAUAAUGAUCGAGGUGGCAGAAUAAAUGGAAAAUUGAUGUCUUACCCUGGAUUGACUGCCAAUUUAUAUUUACUCACUGUUGACUUCUGAAGACAGCAACUAAGCAAAAACAGGCCUAGCUUGUAUUUGUUUUUGAAAAAAGAAAGACUCAACUGUGUGGAAGGGACUGAUAUAUAUGAUGCUACCAAUGCCAGGGCUAAACAUAAAAUGAUAGUCAAACAAUGACUUGCCCACAAAGAAAUGCCCUUUGUUUCUAAAUCCCUGUAGAAAUGCAACAUUUGCAUGGUUAAUACGAUGCUUGAACAUAUAAGAAAAAGUAUGUGCACACAGCAAGUGCAUUCCUUUUUAUGUGCAAUAAUUAGAGCUGUUCUUGUGAUUGCACUUUAUAUACAGUUGAUGAUAACGUUUUAACUUUCAUGUAAGCAGGA
rnacentral:lncRNA from 1 species